rnacentral:rRNA from 1 species
UACAGAGGUCCCAAGCGUUGUUCGGAUUCACUGGGCGUAAAGGGCUCGUAGGGGGCCAACUAAGUCAGACGUGAAAUCCCUCGGCUUAACCGGGGAACUGCGUCUGAUACUGGAUGGCUUGAGUUUGGGAGAGGGACGCGGAAUUCCAGGUGUAGCGGUGAAAUGCGUAGAUAUCUGGAGGAACACCGGUGGCGAAGGCGGCGUCCUGGACCAACACUGACACUGAUGAGCGAAAGCCAGGGGAGCAAACGGG